AUGGCCACCUCCACCCGAUCACCGCUCCCGCCGGCCGACCCCGAGAAGGAGAAGCCGCUCGCCCGCUCCGCACCGGCGACCGCUCCUGCGGACCUCGCGAACCCAGAGAAGAAGAUGCGCCGCCCUGUGCCGAUGACGGACGAGGAGCGGAAGAGGAUCAAGGACCUGAAGGAGCAGCACCGGUCAGGGAUGGAGGGGUUACGAGAGUACUUCCAGAUACACAAGGAGCUGCGGCACCACCACGACGAGCUUCUGUUCCGGCGGAGGUGCCUGGCCGCACGUCUGGUCAGCCGAAUCGCCUUCCAGCGCCAUGAUGCUGCCUACAUCAAGCAUCAGCGUGACCUUGGCUUGAAGCUGGGGGAUAAGUUGCCGGAGGAGCUCAAGAAGAUUGGGCCACCAAUGGGGGCGGCGCUCGUAAUGUGGGCUGAGAUGUGCAGGGCCCUGAACAUAGGCAUGGAUAACUACAUUACUGAGUGCGACAAUCCGGAGGCGUUCCGGGGGAGGAUGAGGUCGUUGGGGCUCAUUCGUGAUGAGAAGGGAGCUCCGCAGGAUUGUGUUGCCCCCCAAGAGUAG
rnacentral:rRNA from 1 species